GAUGAACGCUGACAGAAUGCUUAACACAUGCAAGUCAACUUGAACUUCGGUUUGGGUGGCGGACGGGUGAGUAACGCGUAAAGAACUUGCCUCACAGUUAGGGACAACAUUUGGAAACGAAUGCUAAUACCUGAUAUUAUGAUUUUAGGGCAUCCUAGAAUUAUGAAAGCUAUAUGCGCUGUGAGAGAGCUUUGCGUCCCAUUAGCUAGUUGGAGAGGUAACGGCUCACCAAGGCGAUGAUGGGUAGCCGGCCUGAGAGGGUGAACGGCCACAAGGGGACUGAGACACGGACCUUACUCCUACGGGAGGCAGCAGUGGGGAAUAUUGGACAAUGGACCAAGAGUCUGAUCCAGCAAUUCUGUGUGCACGAUGAAGUUUUUCGGAAUGUAAAGUGCUUUCAGUUGGGAAGAAAAAAAUGACGGUACCAACAGAAGAAGUGACGGCUAAAUACGUG
rnacentral:rRNA from 1 species